ensembl:misc_RNA Metazoa_SRP Metazoan signal recognition particle RNA
GCUGGGCAUGGUGGCACAGGCCUGUAGUCCCAGCUACUUGGGAGGCUGAGGCAGGAGGAUUGCUUGAGCCCAGGAGAUGGAGGUUGCAGUAAGCUGAGAUCAUGCCACUGCACUCCAGCCUGGGCAACAGAGCAAGACUCUGUCUCAA